GAAAAAGUAAAUACUUUUGGUUAACAGUUAAAUAAUUACGUUCUUUAAAUUUAAUUUUUAUUAGGUGAAAUUUUAAUUUUAUUAUAAGAGAUAUUUAUUGAAGCUGUGAAAUUUAACUUAUAAACGAGGAUUAGAUACCCUUCUAUUUUAAAUGUAAAUAUUAACCUGGGUAGUAAUAGUUAUGUUCUUGAAACCCAAAGAAUUUGGCGGUAUUUUAUUCCUUUUAGAGGAACCUGUCCUGUAAUUGAUAAUCCACGAGGGUGAGUUACUCACUUUUGUUUUCAUUUUGUAUACCUCCGUCAUAAGAGUAUCUUUUUAGAGUUAAUAUUCUAUUAAUACAAAAUAUUAUAUGUCAGGUCAAGGUGCAAUUUAUAAGUGAGUAGAGAUGGGUUACAAUAAAUUUAUUUAUAUGGAUUAUUAUUUUUAACUGGUAAUAUGAAGGUGGAUUUAAAAGUAAAAUUAUUACCUUAAU
rnacentral:rRNA from 1 species